UACAGAGGUCUCAAGCGUUGUUCGGAUUCAUUGGGCGUAAAGGGUGCGUAGGCGGCGCGGUAAGUCGGGUGUGAAAUCUCGGAGCUUAACUCCGAAACUGCAUUCGAUACUGCCGUGCUUGAGGACUGGAGAGGAGACUGGAAUUUACGGUGUAGCGGUGAGAUGCGUAGAUAUCGUAAGGAAGACCAGUGGCGAAGGCGGGUCUCUGGACAGUUCCUGACGCUGAGGCACGAAGGCCAGGGGAGCAAACGGG
rnacentral:rRNA from 1 species